UGCCCAGACUCCUACGGGAGGCAGCAGUGGGGAAUAUUGCACAAUGGGGGAAACCCUGAUGCAGCGACGCCGCGUGAGUGAAGAAGUAUUUCGGUCUGUAAAGCUCUAUCAGCAGGGAAGAAAAUGACGGUACCUGAUUAAGAAGCCCCGGCUAACUACGUGCCAGCAGCCGCGGUAAUACGUAGGGGGCAAGCGUUAUCCGGAUUUACUGGGUGUAAAGGGCGUGUAGUCGGGCUGACAAGUCAGAUGUGAAAUCCGGGGGCUCAACCCCCGAACUGCAUUUGAAACUGUUGGUCUUGAGUAUCGGAGAGGCAGGCGGAAUUCCUAGUGUAGCGGUGAAAUGCGUAGAUAUUAGGAGGAACACCAGUGGCGAAGGCGGCCUGCUGGACGACAACUGACGGUGAGGCGCGAAAGCGUGGGGAGCAAACAGGAUUAGAUACCCCAGUA
rnacentral:rRNA from 1 species